GGAUUAGUGGCGAACGGGUGAGUAACACGUGAGUAACCUGCCCCUGACUCUGGGAUAAGCGUUGGAAACGACGUCUAAUACUGGAUAUGAUCACUGGCCGCAUGGUCUGGUGGUGGAAAGAUUUUUUGGUUGGGGAUGGACUCGCGGCCUAUCAGCUUGUUGGUGAGGUAAUGGCUCACCAAGGCGACGACGGGUAGCCGGCCUGAGAGGGUGACCGGCCACACUGGGACUGAGACACGGCCCAGACUCCUACGGGAGGCAGCAGUGGGGAAUAUUGCACAAUGGGCGAAAGCCUGAUGCAGCAACGCCGCGUGAGGGAUGACGGCCUUCGGGUUGUAAACCUCUUUUAGUAGGGAAGAAGCGAAAGUGACGGUACCUGCAGAAAAAGCACCGGCUAACUACGUGCCAGCAGCCGCGGUAAUACGUAGGGUGCAAGCGUUGUCCGGAAUUAUUGGGCGUAAAGAGCUCGUAGGCGGUUUGUCGCGUCUGCUGUGAAAUCCCGAGGCUCAACCUCGGGCUUGCAGUGGGUACGGGCAGACUAGAGUGCGGUAGGGGAGAUUGGAAUUCCUGGUGUAGCGGUGGAAUGCGCAGAUAUCAGGAGGAACACCGAUGGCGAAGGCAGAUCUCUGGGCCGUAACUGACGCUGAGGAGCGAAAGCAUGGGGAGCGAACAGGAUUAGAUACCCUGGUAGUCCAUGCCGUAAACGUUGGGCGCUAGAUGUAGGGACCUUUCCACGGUUUCUGUGUCGUAGCUAACGCAUUAAGCGCCCCGCCUGGGGAGUACGGCCGCAAGGCUAAAACUCAAAGGAAUUGACGGGGGCCCGCACAAGCGGCGGAGCAUGCGGAUUAAUUCGAUGCAACGCGAAGAACCUUACCAAGGCUUGACAUACACCGGAAACGGCCAGAGAUGGUCGCCCCCUUGUGGUCGGUGUACAGGUGGUGCAUGGUUGUCGUCAGCUCGUGUCGUGAGAUGUUGGGUUAAGUCCCGCAACGAGCGCAACCCUCGUUCUAUGUUGCCAGCGGGUUAUGCCGGGGACUCAUAGGAGACUGCCGGGGUCAACUCGGAGGAAGGUGGGGAUGACGUCAAAUCAUCAUGCCCCUUAUGUCUUGGGCUUCACGCAUGCUACAAUGGCCGGUACAAAGGGCUGCGAUACCGUAAGGUGGAGCGAAUCCCAAAAAGCCGGUCUCAGUUCGGAUUGAGGUCUGCAACUCGACCUCAUGAAGUCGGAGUCGCUAGUAAUCGCAGAUCAGCAACGCUGCGGUGAAUACGUUCCCGGGCCUUGUACACACCGCCCGUCAAGUCAUGAAAGUCGGUAACACCCGAAGCCGGUGGC
rnacentral:rRNA from 1 species